UACGUAGGGUGCGAGCGUUAAUCGGAAUUACUGGGCGUAAAGCGUGCGCAGGCGGUCUGUUAAGACCGAUGUGAAAUCCCCGGGCUUAACCUGGGAACUGCAUUGGUGACUGGCAGGCUUUGAGUGUGGCAGAGGGAGGUAGAAUUCCACGUGUAGCAGUGAAAUGCGUAGAAAUGUGGAGGAAUACCGAUGGCGAAGGCAGCCUCCUGGGCCAACACUGACGCUCAUGCACGAAAGCGUGGGGAGCAAACAGG
rnacentral:rRNA from 1 species